ensembl:lncRNA LOC120096727 uncharacterized LOC120096727
GUACAGAUUUGGCUUCUUUUUUUAUUUCACAGAUUUGAGUUAAGCCACAGGUACAAGCACUGAGCUGCAGCCAGCUGAGCUUGCUGGGAGAGAAUUCAUAGCAGAAACAUGUCUGCAUCUCCGAAGCUCCGCAUUACUUCACUUUACCACGUGCACUGUAAACCGUGCCCACCCACGCCUGCCGCUAGAGCGUUUGGACCCAUUUAAGGGCAUUUGGAGUGGAAACGUAUUCCAAGGUUAUUGUAAGUCAUUGCAGAAGAAAACAGACCAAUUUUCCUAUGAGUAAAAUCCUGAAAAGAAAUAAAAUUCAAAGCAAACCUAAUGGAGACAUCAUGGCACGUGUGAGGACGGACGGCGAGCCAGUGCUGGCAUUCUCAAAGCCUCGCUGACCCAGGGAAGACCUGGGUUUUCAUUUCUGUUUUGAGUGAGGCAGAGAGACUCAGCUCAGACUGAACUCAUCAAGGCUGGGGUGUCAACAAGGCCAUGGUUUUGCCUGUGUCCAAAGCACCCCGGAGGCAGAAGCAGUAGGACCAGGAGCUCAAGGCCAGUCUGGCUUCAUAUGCAGAUCUUGUCUCCAUCAAUAUAAAGUCAUCAAUGCAAAUAAAUGUAUAAAGCUAUGUUGAGCU